UACGUAGGGUGCGAGCGUUGUCCGGAAUUACUGGGCGUAAAGAGCUCGUAGGUGGUUUGUCGGCGUUGUUCGUGAAAACUCACAGCUUAACUGUGGGCGUGCGGGCGAUACGGGCAGACUGGAGUACUGCAGGGGAGACUGGAAUUCCUGGUGUAGCGGUGGAAUGCGCAGAUAUCAGGAGGAACACCGGUGGCGAAGGCGGGUCUCUGGGCAGUAACUGACGCUGAGGAGCGAAAGCGUGGGGAGCGAACAGG
rnacentral:rRNA from 1 species